CAGCCGCCGCGGUAAUACGUAGGGUGCGAGCGUUAAUCGGAAUUACUGGGCGUAAAGCGUGCGCAGGCGGUUAUAUAAGACAGAUGUGAAAUCCCCGGGCUCAACCUGGGACCUGCAUUUGUGACUGUAUAGCUAGAGUACGGUAGAGGGGGAUGGAAUUCCGCGUGUAGCAGUGAAAUGCGUAGAUAUGCGGAGGAGCACCGAUGGCGAAGGCAAUCCCCUGGACCUGUACUGACGCUCAUGCACGAAAGCGUGGGGAGCAAACAGGAUUAGAUACCCGAGUAGUCCCUGUCUCUUAUAC
rnacentral:rRNA from 1 species